rnacentral:rRNA from 1 species
AGUGAAUAGAUACCCAGGUAGUCCACGCCCUAAACGAUGCGAACUAGGUGUUGGGGAAGGAGACUUUCUUAGUACCGCAGCUAAACGCGUGAAGUUCGCCGCCUGGGGAGUACGGUCGCAAGAUUAAAACUCAAAGGAAUUGACGGGGACCCGCACAAGCGGUGGAUGAUGUGGAUUAAAUUCGAUGCAACGCGAAAAACCUUACCUACCCUUGACAUGUCAGGAAGUCUGCUGAGAGGUGGAUGUGCCCGAAAGGGAACCUGAACACAGGUGCUGCAUGGCUGUCGUCAGCUCGUGUCGUGAGAUGUUGGGUUAAGUCCCGCAACGAGCGCAACCCUUGUCAUUAAUUGCCAUCAUUCAGUUGGGCACUUUAAUGAGACUGCCGGUGACAAACCGGAGGAAGGUGGGGAUGACGUCAAGUCCUCAUGGCCCUUAUGGGUAGGGCUUCACACGCCAUACAAUGGUCGGUACAGAGGGUCGCCAACCCGCGAGGGGAGCCAAUCCCACAAAGCCGAUCGUAGUCCGGAUCGCAGUCUGC